rnacentral:lncRNA from 1 species
GCCCUGCAUUGUUCCCUUUGACUCAUGCAAUACGAACACUUCUUAUUUUUUUUUCUUUUCUUUUUUUUUCGGAUAACAGCUGAACAGGAACUGAAGCACUCCCUACCCACAAAUCCACCGCUACCAAUAACCCAGGGUGAGUUUCACGAAGUUAAAAGAGCAGAAAACGUGGAACGUGGGGCUUUAUGCUGGGAAAUUCCUUUUUCUUUCCAAAUAACAACAACAACAAAAAAAAAAAUGAUCAGAGCUCUAUAAAUUAACAGAUGGGUGUUACAAUUAUUUACACUGGACGAAGCUGAGCGAGAGCCUCGUGCCUCUCUCGGACCAUCUGGGAGCAAAUCGAAGCCAAGGAUAUGGCCGAAGCCUUUCGACCUCAUGUAUCCUAACACCCGAGGGGUCGUAUAAAACGUUAGCUGUAUUCACAGGGCACUUGUUUGUGUUAGCUUUAGCUUUCCAGAUUGCUUUUCAUCAUGAGACCUAACAGCAGGCAGCCUGCUCCUAGCUCUGACGAUGACAAUACAUUCGCAGCGCUUCCUAACUUUUGCAUCGCCAAGAAAUGAAAAGAAAAACAAAUCCACAUUCGUCCUCCUGUGGUGUUGGGGAGUGCUGGCACGCGCUGCCCGCCCGCUCUGACGUCUCCUUUCUACUUCUUCUCCUUCUUGCCAGACUUCUUCUUGUUGCCACCCGAGGGUUUGGCGUCGCGUUUGCCGGCAGCAUUACUCAGUGUGGCGGUGCUGCCCGGGAUGUAGACGUUCUGCCGGUAGUCGGGGACGUGCUGCAGGGUGAACUGGGGGCCGUAGCGGGCGCUCAGCCCCAUGGUGCCUGUGCCCCCACCCAGUGUUGCGUUGACAUCAGCGGCUUCAUUUGCCGAGGCCAG